AGUGUAGGCGGCAACGUAAGUCGGUUGUGAAAUCCCCGGGCUCAACCUGGGAAUGGCAUCCGAUACUGCGUAGCUAGAGUUUGACAGAGGAAUGUGGAAUUCCGGGUGUAGCGGUGAAAUGCGUAGAUAUCCGGAGGAACACCAGUGGCGAAGGCGGCAUUCUGGGUCAAAACUGACGCUGAGGCUCGAAAGCGUGGGGAGCAAACAGGAUUAGAUACCCUGGUAGUCC
rnacentral:rRNA from 1 species